ACUGGACUACGCCAGUAUAAAUAGGCAUUAAGCGUAGUGCGUUCCAGUCUUCACAGACUGGAGGUUGUU
rnacentral:ribozyme from 10 species